rnacentral:tRNA from 1 species
CCAGCGUUCGGCGAUGACGGCAUGCCCAAGCUUGAGAUGCGUGGACAUGAUGUCGAAGAGUUCGUCGGCGUGGUUCGCCGCUACGGUGCCGGGC